GAACGCUGGCGGCGUGCCUAACACAUGCAAGUCGAACGGAGUGCAGACGCUGAAGAUCAAAGUAGCUUGCUAUAGAGAGAUUCUGUUGUACUUAGUGGCGGACGGGUGAGUAACGCGUGGAAAACCUGCCUCAUACAGGGGGAUAACAGGAAGAAAUUCCUGCUAAUACCGCAUGAGCGCACACUGUCGCAUGGCAGAGUGUGAAAAGAUUUAUCGGUAUGAGAUGGUUCCGCGUCUGAUUAGCCAGUUGGCGGGGUAACGGCCCACCAAAGCGACGAUCAGUAGCCGGCCUGAGAGGGCGGACGGCCACAUUGGGACUGAGACACGGCCCAGACUCCUACGGGAGGCAGCAGUGGGGGAUAUUGCACAAUGGAGGCAACUCUGAAUGCAGCGACGCCGCGUGGGUGAAGAAGUUAUUCGUAAUGUAAAGCCCUAUCAGCAGGGAAGAUAAUGACGGUACCUGACUAAGAAGCCCCGGCUAACUACGUGCCAGCCGCGGC
rnacentral:rRNA from 1 species